rnacentral:rRNA from 1 species
GACGACGCUGGCGGCGUGCCUAAUACAUGCAAGUCGAGCGAGCGGCGGACGGGUGAGUAAUGUCUGGGAAACUGCCUGAUGGAGGGGGAUAACUACUGGAAACGGUAGCUAAUACCGCAUACCAUCAGAUGUGCCCAGAUGGGAUUAGCUAGUAGGUGGGGUAAUGGCUCACCUAGGCGACGAUCCCUAGCUGGUCUGAGAGGAUGACCAGCCACACUGGAACUGAGACACGGUCCAGACUCCUACGGGAGGCAGCAGUGGGGAAUAUUGCACAAUGGGCGCAAGCCUGAUGCAGCCAUGCCGCGUGUGUGAAGAAGGCCUUCGGGUUGUAAAGCACUUUCAGCGAGGAGGCGUUACUCGCAGAAGAAGCACCGGCUAACUCCGUGCCAGCAGCCGCGGUAAUUC